UGCGAUGUGGAACAAGAGGUAGUUCAUGAGAUUCAUGCUCUCAGAGUUGAUGGUUCGAAUCCGUCCAUCGCAC